GACGAACGCUGGCGGCGUGCUUAACACAUGCAAGUCGAGCGGUAAGGCCCUUUCGGGGGUACACGAGCGGCGAACGGGUGAGUAACACGUGGGUGACCUGCCCUCAGCUCUGGGAUAAGCCCGGGAAACUGGGUCUAAUACCGGAUAUGACUCCAUGACGCAUGUUGUGGGGUGGAAAGCCUUGUGCGGCUGAGGAUGGGCCCGCGGCCUAUCAGCUUGUCGGUGGGGUGAUGGCCUACCAAGGCGACGACGGGUAGCCGGCCUGAGAGGGCGACCGGCCACACUGGGACUGAGACACGGCCCAGACUCCUACGGGAGGCAGCAGUGGGGAAUCUUGCGCAAUGGGCGAAAGCCUGACGCAGCGACGCCGCGUGAGGGAUGACGGCCU
rnacentral:rRNA from 1 species